UCAGGACGAACGCUGGCGGCGUGCUUAACACAUGCAAGUCGAACGAUGAAGCCUUCGGGUGGAUUAGUGGCGAACGGGUGAGUAACACGUGGGCAAUCUGCCCUGCACUCUGGGACAAGCCCUGGAAACGGGGUCUAAUACCGGAUAAUACUGUUCCCCUCCUGGGGGAUGGUUGAAAGCUCCGGCGGUGCAGGAUGAGCCCGCGGCCUAUCAGCUUGUUGGUGGGGUAAUGGCCUACCAAGGCGACGACGGGUAGCCGGCCUGAGAGGGCGACCGGCCACACUGGGACUGAGACACGGCCCAGACUCCUACGGGAGGCAGCAGUGGGGAAUAUUGCACAAUGGGCGAAAGCCUGAUGCAGCGACGCCGCGUGAGGGAUGACGGCCUUCGGGUUGUAAACCUCUUUCAGCAGGGAAGAAGCGAAAGUGACGGUACCUGCAGAAGAAGCGCCGGCUAACUACGUGCCAGCAGCCGCGGUAAUACGUAGGGCGCAAGCGUUGUCCGGAAUUAUUGGGCGUAAAGAGCUCGUAGGCGGUCUGUCACGUCGGGUGUGAAAGCCCGGGGCUUAACCCCGGGUC
rnacentral:rRNA from 2 species